CAACAACAUGCCAAACCUGCCGUGAGGCAGGGACGGAAAGCCACGGGUCUUACUGAUCAACCGCCAGUAAGACAGCCGGGCUGCAGUGA
rnacentral:ncRNA from 1 species